CCAGACUCCUACGGGAGGCAGCAGUGAGGAAUAUUGGUCAAUGGGCGAGAGCCUGAACCAGCCAAGUCGCGUGAGGGAUGACUGCCCUAUGGGUUGUAAACCUCUUUUGUAUGGGGGGAAUAAGCUUUACGAGUAGAGUGAUGACAGUACCAUACGAAUAAGCAUCGGCUAACUCCGUGCCAGCAGCCGCGGUAAUACGGAGGAUGCGAGCGUUAUCCGGAUUUAUUGGGUGUAAAGGGCGUGUAGGCGGGACUGCAAGUCAGAUGUGAAAUCCAAGGGCUCAACCCUUGAACUGCAUUUGAAACUGUCGUUCUUGAGUACUGGAGAGGUUGACGGAAUUCCUAGUGUAGCGGUGAAAUGCGUAGAUAUUAGGAGGAACACCAGUGGCGAAGGCGGUCAACUGGACAGCAACUGACGCUGAGGCGCGAAAGCGUGGGGAGCAAACAGGAUUAGAUACCCUGGUAA
rnacentral:rRNA from 1 species